CCUACGGGUAGCAGCAGUAGGGAAUCUUUCACAAUGGGCGAAAGCCUGAUGGAGCAACGCCGCGUGCAGGAUGAAGGCCUUCGGGUUGUAAACUGCUUUUAUAAGCGAGAAAUAUGAUGGUAACUUAUGAAUAAGGAUCGGCUAACUACGUGCCAGCAGCCGCGGUCAUACGUAGGAUCCGAGCAUUAUCCGGAGUGACUGGGUGUAAAGAGUUGCGUAGGUGACAUAAUAAGUAGCUAGUGAAAUCUGGUGGCUCAACCAUUCAGACUAUUAGCUAAACUGUUAAGCUCGAGACCGUUAGGGGUAACUGGAAUUUCUAGUGUAGGAGUGAAAUCCGUAGAUAUUAGAAGGAACACCAAUAGCGUAGGCAGGUUGCUGGGACGGUUCUGACACUAAGGCACGAAAGCGUAGGGAGCAAACGGGAUUAGAUACCCGUGUAGUC
rnacentral:rRNA from 1 species